GUGCAUAAUAAAAUUUCUCAAAUUUAAAUAUUUAAUUUAAUUAAUAUUAAAAAGAUACUUUAAUUAAUUAGUUUAGCAUAAGGUCUUUAUUUAUUUCUGUGCUGUGUGGUGUUCUUAUUUGAUAGUUAGAUUUUAGCAAUGGCUUACACAGAAGCUGCAGCGGACCUCCUCGAUUUCCAUAAUAAGAGUCAGGGUACAUUUUAAUUGAUAAUGACGAAGAUGAUGGUAUAAUAUAACAACCCUCAUGAUGUGGCAGUGUCAGUUCAAAAUCGUUUGAUUAUGGGAGAGAUGUAGGAUGCAUCAUAUUUAUAAUGUUUUUUAAUACAUAUAAUAAAUAUUCAUAUUUUUCCAA